CAGCUUUUUGUUUGUGACUUUGUAGGCUACGUGAGCUAUAGCCCGAGCUCUGUGUCGCAUUGCAUAGAAGGUCGACGUUGUAAAGCGACGUUGUAAUGCGCCUAACCAUUCUAAUUUGGGGGCAUAACUUUGUUUCACGGGUAGAAAACGACGCGCGACAGGACAGGGGGUCCAUAACUGCCGUUAUAGAAUUUUCGAUCACCGGUUAACCACCGGUUAAGGAGGCUCGGUAACCGGUAAAGAUUUUUUUUAAAUUUCGCCAUCCCUAGUCAGAGACACUUAGGCUGUGUGCAUUUUGGAAUGUUCCAAAUGUGUGUCACUUCCAUAAGGAAGAAGUUCCAAGCCUGCAAGUGAGUUCACUCACCAAAUAGAGACACACGCAUAUAGCAUUUAAUAUGUGUGCAUGUACUGUAUUUGUGUCUGUAACUGUUUAGUUUAUCCCCUCCUUUCAUGUGUCUGUUAUGACUUUGUGGGCUCAACUGUCAACAACUGUCCAGGGUGAAGUCGGUCUACCCUGAUGGCACUACCUGAUGGCACUACCCUGAUGAUGUCUGUUAGCCAUGGCUGCUGCCCUCAACAUGGUGAGCCAUCCAGAAGUCCCAGCCUGGAGCCAGAGGCUGCUAUUGCAAGUCAGAUGGGAGAUGGCCUACAGUAUGUUAGGCAUCAGAAAAGUGGUGUUCGCAUGAAGGCAGAGUUGCCGCAGGCAAUUAUGAGAUUAGACACUUGACAUUUACUGCGAAAGGUACCAUCAGAGCACCUCUCCCUACCCUGCAGGAUACCUAUACCAGAAGAGUACAACAACGGCCCAAAAGUAUCUCAAAAGACAUUUCACGCUCUGACCACGGACUGUUUAAACCACUGAGGUCAAGCAGACGUCUCUGUUCCCACGUGGCAGACUGAGGGAACACCCACAAAACAUACUGGGGAUGAGUUUCUUUACUCCGCAUCCUGUACACACACAACUCCUUAUACUACAUUACAUAGACUUGCCAGUUGCCAUACUGCACUUACACACACUGCGUUUUAACCCCCUUAUCUGUGUCAAAUCAGAUAAGGUUGUGGUUGUGUUCAAACCAUGUCUACUGUUGUCUGUCAACAUCCACUUCAGUCAUACAUUUGAAAUGUCUUAAAUAAAUAACAAAAGUUAAAAUUGUUUUAUUGUCUGCAGUUAACUGAAAUAUUUUGGAAUAUGAGUUAUUCUAUUAAUGAUUGCUCAUGU